rnacentral:sRNA from 1 species
GUAUUCUAAUAAUACUGCAUGACAUUACGGACAACUUAGCCUAAAUUAUGGAAAAUCAAAUUACUUAGUAGAACUGCAAGACAAUCCUCUCAGUUGUUGUAAGGUAACUUUGCUGGACUUGUGAAGAAUGGUGUGCAAGGUCCAGAGCGACUGCAGGAGAGGGAAGGUGGGAUUCCCACAGAGCAGGAGCACAGAUGAGCCAAGCAAGGCCCUGCUUAGAAGGCAGCAAUCAACAGAGAUGCACAGACCUGUGAGGGUGCCGGGACAGCCAUGCAACAAUGCAGCCCUUUUGCUUCCUAAGCUCACCAGUUCCCUCGCUCCACCUCUGAGAGGUGGUUUGGAGAAACACAGCCCUUCUCAAGAGGUUUGCAAGCUACUUAAGUCCUGAAAACUUCCACAAGGCUGAGUCAAAUCUGCGUUUCAUCAUCUAUAAGAAAGGUACCUAUCGAGAACACCCUGCUGGCCAGUGUGUAAAUAUCUAAAGGAGGACUCAGAAAACACCGGGGAAGUCCAGCCUGCAUGUGGUGGCUGGGCUUCAGUGAAGCAUGGAGCACAACAGGAGUUGUAAGUAGUAGUUACAUCAGCAGCCCUGGAAAUUCUGCUCAGAACCAAACUGAACAAAUAACAUUAUCUAAAGCUUACAAUUAUUUAACUCCCUAAAUUUUCUGUCCUCCCAGUAGCACUUUCAAAUGCCUAAAAGCAAUUAAAAGAAACAUUUUUCCAAUGUCUCACAGAACCAUUAGAAACACAAAAUUAAUAGCUUCAUAAACUAUAGCUUCUAUUUUAUCCAUAAUAGAAUGAAGGUGCAUAAACCACAUAGUAAUUAAUCUUUGGACAAAAGCAAACAAUUAAUGGAAUAUAUGGCUAA